rnacentral:rRNA from 1 species
GAUGAACGCUGGCGGUCUGCUUAACACAUGCAAGUCGAACGGGCUCUUUCGGGAGCUGGUGGCGGACGGUUGAGUAACGCGGGAUAAUCUGCCCUUUGGAGGGGUAUAACGGUUGGAAACGACCGCUAAUACCCCAUGUGCCGAGAGGGAAAAAGUAAUUCGCCAAGAGAGUAGCUCGCGUCGGGUUGGCUAUUUUGUGGAGUAAGAGCCGACCAAGGCGACGGUCCGUAGCUGGUCUGAUAGGAAGACCAUCCACACUGGGACUGAGACACGGACUAGACUCCCACGCGCGGUAGCAGUGGGGCAUAUUCAGCAAUGCGCGCAAGCUUGACGGAGCAAGACCGCGUGAGAGAAGACGGUCUGUGGAUUGUAAACCUCUUUUGACAGGGAAGAAGUACUGACGGUACCUGUCGAGUAAGCCUCGGCUAACUACGUG